GCAAGGAUUAAGAUUUGAGGUAGAGGUUUGGAUGUAGGUCUACAACAUAUUCCGAGUCCGGAUGUGAGAGAAGAGCUGAAGUGGACUGCACCUUCUCCUUGAGAAGAAGGUUAGGGCUGGAGAGAGAAUAAGGACUAAGAUCAGUAUUGGGGAGUGAGUAAGACCAGGGAUGAGGUUGGUGUUGAUAUCAGGAAGGGGACUCUGGUGGGCACUCGGAUAAGGAUUAGGGUGGGGCACAGGGUUCCUGUGAAUGUCUGAAGAUGGUAGUUUGCUGUUGAGGGGAAGAAGCUGUGCGGGUCGUCGCAGCAGUAUUUGUGGUCGCGGAAGCCACAGCAGAAGACAGCGGCCGCCUCGCCCCCUGGCCGCGGGCAGCUGAAGCCAUGCACCACCUCCUGCUCCGCGCUCACGUAGCUCGUGCAGGCGCCGGUCAUUGCGCCCCCAGCCCAGCCCGCCGCCCCUUCGGGCCACCAGACGGCUGGCGAGACAAGGGUCGAUGGAGAGAGGGACUGGUGGAGACCCGACUGAGCCUAAGAAAGACGAAGAGACAGGGAGGCAGAGGUAAGCAAAGACAGAGACACGCAGAGCAAGGCACAGCGAGGGGCGCAGAGACGCAGCGGAAGAACCUGGAGCCCCCAAAGACCGAGUGGCCACCAGACCUAUAUUCCAGACAUUUUCCUAUCCUGGAUAUCAUGUAGUCCUUGAAAACUUCCUUUGAGGACAAUAGCCAAGAUUGUUUCAGAUGGAAGAGCAUGAAGUCUGGCACUAAGCAAGCCCCAAAAGGAAAUGCUUUCUGCAAGGUACUCAAAACAAUGACCUCUUGACCUUGGCUGCCUUGCUUCUAAAGCUGAGUUCCCCCAAGGAGGGUGGGGAAAGAAAUGAUCUCUUGACCCUCGCUGUGGUUGGCCUCGCUGGAAGACUGGAUGACUGCAGUUAAGUGAGAUUGACAACUCAGGGGCAACUUGAGGCCCUAAUAACUGGUUCCUCUCAAUGUCACACAGUGAUCAGUAACCCAGGCAGGACUGGUACACAAUCUGAGUCGCCAUGUGUAAUCCAUGACUGGUCUCAAGCCUCUGAACUUUGUGGAGUGGUGCAGUAUCUUUCCACUUACCUUGCUGCCCCAAAUGCAGCUGCCCCAUGGUGUGCAUACUGCCCACCGACGUGUCCCCAUCGCCAGGCUCCUCAUAGAUCACAGCAGCUGGAGAAGUGAAGGAAGUAUGUGGACCUGCAUAAAGUGCCUCGGAGUGCCUGCUCAGGAAGGAUUCUUUCCCUUCUCUUCAAAAAGGAGGCUCUUGUCUCAUUGUGAGGAAAAGUGACCUAUCCCUGGUGGAACAUCAAAUCCAUGGGCGAAUCUGGGAUCAUGGCUCAUAUCUCCUGAAACCACCCAGAAUCUUUACCACUCUCCAUGGCCACCACCCUUUACUGAUUUGGGACGAUUUGCUGUUUG